rnacentral:lncRNA from 1 species
AGGCAACCAUCCUAAUAUGACCUGUCCUAUGACUCCCUUUUGGGCUACAGCAAGUUCACACUGAACCAUCCACUACGCCAAUGACGGAAAAGACUCCCUUUCGAGCUACAGUGGUUCACUUUAAACCUAAGUUGCACAGACACGGACACGAACACGGCAACACGGCAAAACUCAAAAACUGAGUUUCCGGCACGGCAAACAAAAUUAUAUAUUUAUGUAUUUUUAAUAAAUAAAAAAUAUACUAAAAUAUGAAAUAAGUUCAUUACAUUACUAAAUAAAGUUUUAAAUUCAAUCUAUUUCAUAACCAUAAGAAAUAAGUCAAGUGCAUAACUAAUAACAUUAAAAGCAGCAGACCUUUAGCACCUAAAACAUAACAUUAAAGAAAAACAAACUUGAGCAGUAGUUUGUUUUCAAACAAGGCAAUCUUUAGCACAGUAGCACCUAAUAGACAAGAAGAUGAACUAAUAUAAUUAUCAUAUCCGUAAUUCAUCCUAAACUUUUUUUUUUAUUUUAAGACUAAAACGUUGAUGUGGCAUGUUGCAAUGCCGUGUCAGGGCCGGUCAACAUGUCCGAAAAUUUAAUGCCAUGUCGGGGGCGGUUAACGUGUCCGAAAAGUCAACUUUUUCGGACACGCCACGUGGCGUGUCGGACACGUAUUUUUCCGUGUCGGCAUGUCGGAUGUUCGACACUCCGACACUCCAGGGGUGUGGAGUGUCCAUGCAACAUAGCUUUGAACCAAGGAAGAAAAUUUCGAUGAUUACAGAAAUUUCGACCCUCCAAAAUAUGGAAAUUUCGGGAAAAUAUCGAUUACAGUAAAAAAAUGAGAAAAUUGACGGAAAUUUAAAGAAAAACAAGGAAAUUUUAAACCAAACUUUAAGAGAUGUUUGUUUUCUAUAUUAUGUACUAUAUUUGAAAUGAAAACUUUGAAUAAACAUUGAUCUAUAGAGAGUAGUAAGUUAAGGUGAAAAGGUUAGUGCUGAACCGUUAAUAAUUCUUAAAAAUUUACUUUAAAUAUCUUUUUUUUAAAAGGUAGAUAUAUUAAAAAUAAAUUAAGAAGUGUAGGUAAAAAA